rnacentral:misc_RNA from 1 species
UUUUAUAUGUAGAAUUUUCCACAAGUGCUGAAUCUUUCACUUAAAAUGACCAGAUGGGAGUUCUUCUCUCAACCAAUUAAAAUUAAAAUGUUCUAAAAUGACAACUACCACAAUGUUGCAUAUUUAAUUUACAUGAAGCAUGAGCUUACUAUGUUAAAAAAAUGAUUAACUCGAAAAGCUUAUAGAUUGCAUUGCAGAUAUCUUGAAAAGAGGAUAAAAGUAACUCAAGAAGAUAAGCAUGGCUACGGAGGGAGUGGCAGACCGAGGUAUGUCUCUAAAACUAAACAACUAGAUAAGCUAUAGAUCCUCACAAUAGCUUUAAACUACGAUGACAGAGCAAGCUUCAAUAACAUUAAUACAAAGAUGUCAAAGACAGAAUGAAAUGGUGCCACAAAAAAGCAAAUAUUGCUGACAUGAAUACCGUCUACAGAACUUGUUUAUAUCACUACCCGAGCUGUCAUGGAGGGUCAAUGGAGUCUAAGUUACAAGAAAUCCAAUUGUGUAGAUGUGAUCCCAAAAUUACCAAAUAGGUGUAGACAAUUGUGCAAAAAGCCAAAAACACAAUUUAAUCUUGAUAGUAUCCAU